UAUGGCCACAUCACAUUGAAACAGUGGUUCUCAUAUGAUUACCAAAGUUAAGCAACAUUGAGCCUGGUCAGUACCUAGAUGGAUAACCACUUGGGAAUACUAAGUGAUGUAA